UACGAAGGGGGGCUAGCGUUGCUCGGAAUCACUGGGCGUAAAGGGUGCGUAGGCGGGUCUUUAAGUCAGGGGUGAAAUCCUGGAGCUCAACUCCAGAACUGCCUUUGAUACUGAAGAUCUUGAGUCCGGGAGAGGUGAGUGGAACUGCGAGUGUAGAGGUGAAAUUCGUAGAUAUUCGCAAGAACACCAGUGGCGAAGGCGGCUCACUG
rnacentral:rRNA from 1 species